rnacentral:rRNA from 1 species
GUGAAAUUGUUGAAAGGGAAACGAUUGAAGUCAGUCAUACCAACGGGAAAUCAACCUUUUGAGUUUGGUCUCGUGGGUUUUGAAGAGUUUAAAAGCCUUCGGAUUUUCGAGAUUGGGUUCCUCUGGUGUACUUUCUCGUACGGUUAGUCAACAUCGGUUUUGAAUGUCAUAAAAUGACUGGAGGAAUGUGGCUUCGAUCUCGUAUUGAAGUGUUAUAGCCUUUGGUAGAUGUGAUGAUCGAGAUUGAGGAUUGCAACGGAUACCCUUCGGGGCUACCUGUCUGAUCUCUGACUCGUUGCUCUGGUGCCGAAAGACUUGCUUACGGUUAUCAAAGUCGAUGGUCAAUAGGUUAGAACGGGUUAAAUUCGUUAAGGAUGUUGACGUAAUGGCUUUAAACGAC